rnacentral:rRNA from 1 species
CAGUCGUACCUUCGGGUAAUCAGCCUUUCGGGUGCGAUUCUGUGGAGUGUGAGGAGUUAAACACCUUCAUGUUUUGCAUAUUCGUACUCUUGGGUGUACUUGCCCGUGUGGUUGGUUAACAUCAAUUUUGGUGGUCAUAAAAUGACUGGAGGAAUGUAGCUUCGAUCUCGUAUUGAAGUGUUAUAGCCUUCGGUAGAUGUGAUGAUCGAGAUUGAGGAUUGUAACGGAUACCCUUCGGGGCUACCUGUCUGGUCUCUGAUCGUUGCUCUGGUGCCGAAAGCUUGCUUACGGUUAUCAAAGUCGAUGGUCAAUAGGUUAGAACGGGUUAAAUUCGUUAAGGAUGUUGACGUAAUGGCUUUAAACGA